UUUAAUUAUUCGAUCGACUAAUUAAAAAAUGUAUAAAAUAUCCAAAAUUUCUUUUAAUUGAAGAAGACAAAGAUGAUUCAGUUUUAAGCAUUGGCUAAAUUAUGUGUUUUGUGUAUUUUAAAAAACUUUUUUUUGCACAUAGAGCAUUUCCUACAUUUACUUUUCCAAUGUUUAUGGAUUUAGAAAUUUGAAUAAGCUUUAGAAUAGAAAAAAAAAAGCACAUAUAAGGUGUAGAUAUGGAAACUAAUUUCUAUUGUUCUUAGUUUUUGUAACAAUUAACCUGUUUCCAUACUUUUUCAACGAUCUGUAUGAUUUAACUUUUAAUAAAAUUACCAUUUUGUUUAUGGCUUUAUCAUUUGAUAAUAUCAUAGAAGUUACUGAUGUAAUUAUUUAAACAAGAUAAAAAAAUCAUAUCAACUGGUUUUUUGGUUAAUAAGCAAAUUUUAAAGUACAAUAAAAUCGUGCUCAAGUCUGUAAAAAUAUUUUAAAAUACAUAAGGCACAUACAGCGUUGUAGGUCAUUUACCUGAAUAACUGUUAGUGUAAAAAAAGAAGCCACCCAGAAACCACUAAUUCACCGUUUUCUCUUUAUUUUUUUCAACAUCGACAGAAAUAGGACAAAAAAUAUGUUGUUAGUAAGGAAAUCUAACUACCUAAGGCGAACCUAGAGUGAUUAAAAUAAUUGUAAUAGUACAAAAGUCACUCGUUUAAAAUUUUAUAACCUGAGUAAUGGUCUAAGAAAAAUUAAACAAAUAACCUUUAUUUUUCAAAACUUAAAAACGCUAUGCAAUAAAAUUUUAAUAAAAAAAUAAUCUCUGUUUCCAACACCAGUUAACACGGCUGGUUAAAGAAAGUGUACCGGAAAUCGUGCGAUAAAAAGAGUCACGGUAUAAAACCCGCGACCCAAGGCAUCGUAGAGACAAACCUUACCACUAGGCUUAUAGGUGCUGUUAAAGGUUGAUAACGUGAAAAGCGGCUGAGGGAAUCACGGUAACACGUCAUUGUUAAAACUAAAACUUCUAAUUAAAACUAUUUUGUUAUGUGAUACUGAUUAAAGUAAUAUAGUUCUAUCUAAAUCAUGAUAAGUAUCUUUAAAGUAAAAUAUAAAUCAAAUAUCAAAGCGUAUUCAGCAAAUCACUUGUAAUAUCUUCUUUAUAAUAAAAAAUAUCAUUAUAUAAUUGUUGGAUACAUAUCGAUCGAAUAUGCUGUCAAGAAAAUUUGUUUUUGACUAUUCGUGUUAUCGUUGUGUUACAUCGAGUUGUUGUCGGUUGUCUCUCUAUGUUACCAUUGCGCAGCCAUCUUAACGCUUCUUCUGUUAUAAGCUCUAUGGCGUUUGAGAGCUAGUAGUUUUUGUAUUCGUUUUACUGUAAAAAGAAAAUAUCACCUUUGCGAUUUUCGUACCCUGUGCGCUCAGUUUUAUCGCCGUUGGGUCUAUAUAUUUUCUGAGAUACAUCACAAUACCUUUGACAGCUUAUUGUACACUUUGGUCAACAACCUGCAUUCGACAAUUGAUCCUUUCAAUAUUCAGCAUUAUCAUCAGCCGUCUUCAUUUAGCAGAUAAGUAUAAUGCUUGUUCAUUUAUCUUUCUAAGACUCACCUGAAUAAUUUAUUAUUUAUUUAUAUCAUCUCCUUUGUGGCAUUAGUAUUAAGUGUCCCCCCUAUCCACAUUGGUGUAUAUAAAAUUUUAUAUUUUUUAUAUAAUACAUUUAAUUUUUAUAAUUAUAUCUUGUGAAAUUCAUUCAACAUUCAAACAUACAGUCCACUCAUCUUAUUCUUUAUCCUCGACAUAGCUAAAACUUAAGACAAAACAAAACCACGAACGUUGACGAACCCGCGUGAAUACCACCGGGCGCUGCGUUCAUACAAUAAUAAUAAAUAAUAUAUCAAUAAUAACACAAUUACCAUACGUAAAUCUAAAUACACCAUCAUAUUUAACGUUGAAAAAUACAUAAAAUUUUAUUAUUUUAAUCAUUGUAUUAUAUCAUUACUCAAUUACUUCAAAAUAGAAUAGUGCUGGGAAAUUAUAUAAAUAAAAAUAGUAUUUGUUGCGAAUUUUUAAGAUUUUCCUAUAUUUUUUAUAUUUACUGCAAUUUUUACACUUUUUAUUUAAUCAAAAUGUAUAAAGUUAAUAUAUUUUAAAUCAUUAUAAAAUAUAAUCUAUUUGUUGAAUUAAGUUUCUAUUAGUUCAACUAAAAAAAGUUAUACUCAAACUUAUUGAUUUAAAAUGACACUCUAACUUUAAAAGUCCAAAACGUCGGAUAAACUUCAUAAAGCCGUCCCAUAUUUUACACCUAGUAUUAAACACCAUGAAAUCAAUUAAGAAAAGUUAAAAAUAAAUAAAAAAUGUUACAUUUAUUACUGACGAUUGUAUUCUAUAAUUAUCAUUUAAUUACUAAUUAGUCCUUAUCUCAAAAACUAAAUGUUAUAGAAAUGUAGCCAAAUUUAGAAUCAGGACCGAAAGGAGAAUUCCUUAUAAAAUUCAUAUACAAAUUGCAAACAAUAUAACAUUAUUGUUAUUAUUUAAAAAUAAAUAAUCAAAUAAAAAUAGGCACAAACAUUUUACUAGAAAUAAAGAUAUAUUUUGUAUUUUAUAACUUCAUAUUUAUAUGUUUACUUUGUUUUUCUAAUAAAAAUAAACGCAUCUAAAAAAAUUGUUAUCAGUGUAAAAUAAUAUUUGAAUGAAAUCUUUUUGUUGCAAAAAUAUCACAGAGGUAUUCAGAUAUACCUUAGUAGUUAACAAUUAACCCUAUGAACGAAACAUUCUGGAACAGAUUUUGAAACUAUAUUUUAGUAUUCAGAUUGUAUGGUACAGAACGCCUUUAGAAGGAUCUAGUUGACCAGUUGUUAGAAAGAUCAUCGAUUAUAUUAUUUCGUGGGACAGCUGAUCACCAGCAUCUUGCUUUACUCACCCCCUUGCCCACCCUUCACAGCAAAUCGAUGACCUCCGUGUCGGUUUUCAUCCAUGUACAGUUCAUUGUCAUAAGUCAGUCAGUCGUUUUGUUUUACGUGUCAUUUUUUUUCUGUUGCAAGCGCCUUCGCUUGUAUAGUAAAUUGUUCGGCCGUUGUACGCCAUGGUUUCUUAUUAUUUAUUUAUUGCACCCUUGUGCUCAAAGUUUACGUGCCCUUGCAAGCCACUAGUGAUUAGGCCCUGACCAUCACUAAACAUUAUCAUUGCCGUAUUCUGUUCUCAUCUGCCAUUACAUGCCUGGAUUUACACUCUGACUCUUCAUACUAAGAUGUUCGACACCAUUACCACAAGAUCUCAUACAGCCCACUCAUCAACAUCAACAACGCCAUCUAUACAGCUGAGUUUUAUAUUAUUUUUAAUGUUACUUAUUGUUUAUUUUAAUUGAAUACUUAAAUGUAUUUAUUGUGUUUUUUUUUAAUUGUAUUUUUAGAUGUUUAUCUAUUUGAUACUUUCGAAGAUAAUUUUUCAUAAUUGUCAUCAUUAUUAACAUCGUAAUCAUUUGAUUUGUACGAUUGCUCUUGCUUUUCUAAUUUUUUUUUAAUAAUUCCAUACGAUGUUGAAAAUAUUCACCAGAAAUAUUGUACGUUGUUGUGUCCUAAAAACAUGAUAACAUUUUUAUUGAAUCUAUUUAAAAAAUUAAGUAUUACAAAAUUGUAUUAAACACAUACUUGCUGAAUUUUAGAUAUACUAUAUUUAGUUUCAGCAUUGGGUUGUUUACAACUGUGUUCCUUAACAACAUCUUUUAAUUUUCAACUCAUUUUAUGUACUUUUUUGGUAACUGUUUCUAAUUUUUGUUCUUUUAAUUUUAAACAGUUUUGCACAUGUUUUAUUGAAUUUUUGCUCAUGCAAAUUUCAUUCUUUAACUCAUCAUUUUCAAACUUCAAAGAUGUAUUUAAAUCACUCAGCUCUUUAAUUGUUAUGUCUAUACAUCUUAAUUUUUCAUUCAAUUCUUGGAUCUUGCAUUUACAUUUGUGGUUCUCCUCAUAGAGUAUUUCGUUUCUUGAUUCCAGUGUUUUGAUUUUUUGCCAUUCUGCCUCGUAAUCAUCCAUAAAAGUGAUUAACAUUAAUGCAUUAUUUUGUGUUUGUGUUUUGAUUAUACAAUUCAGUUUAUUAAUCUCUUUUUGCAUUAGGUCAUUUUUAUUAUCAUGUUCACACAUACUCAUAUCCAUAUCAUGAAGCUUAUUUUCCAAUUCAAUAAUACGAUUUUUCAGUUGAAAAUCUCUUGAAGUGACAAAUUUGUAUAACGGACUCUUUUCGUGUGUUUAUAACAAUAAAUCCCUUUAUAUAACAUAUUAUUAUCUUAUAGAAUAGCCAUUACUUAUAUAAUUACAAUUGAUACUAAUAAAGCGAGCCAGUUAAUAUUUUUAAAUAAAUUAUUUCUUUAUAAAAUCAAUUCGACAUGCACGCUUAAUAUAUACAAGUUAACUAAGUUGUUACAGCAGCAGAAAUCGUGGUCUUUUAAACAGCCGUUAUUACGGCUACCCUUAUUAUAGUAUAAUUUAUAUAAAACAAUUGUCCCGCAACUAAGGCGCAAGUCAGCCUAAAUUAAAAUACCCUAUUGUGUGUAUUUCUUCUUUUUUUUUAUACAUAAUAAAUGGACACUGAAUUUUAUGAGAUGGUCACUGUGUAUGUUUCGCAAAUAUUUUACUGUAUACAUUAGUACUAUUAUCGAGCAUGCUUAACUUAAUUUAAGACACCUAUUGUAAAUGUAUGCAAGUUUUUGACAACGUUUUGGCUACAUACAUUAGGUUAACUUAGCUUAUUAUUUUUAUUGUCAUAAAUAACAUUAAAUUAUUAUUAUUUUUUUUUAAUUCAUGAACAUAUAUCAUUUAUUGUGCAUGCAUUGCUUAUAAUUGUAUUCGGUACCCCAACAUCCCCUUUUAAUUAUUAAAUUAUUUUUAAUAAUAAGCGUUAGUGUUCUGAACAGACCUCGAGAACACGGAGAAUACUCUUUGGACUAUUCAAGAAGUCGACGACAGGGCCGGGCUUUUCAUAGGAACCGCUUGGUAGCCGACUAUUGAGAACCCACACGAAGGAAGCUCCUCCAACGCUCAAAAGCUUGUGAAUUAAGGAGUGUGGACAUCGAAGACCCAGAGGUUCUCAUUACGACACUAAUGUCCCUCCAAAUUUUUUAUUUUAAAUAUUUUUUCUUUUCCUACGUAGCAUUAUUUUGCCAAAGUUAUUUUGUUUUUUUAUUAUGGUCUAGGGUCAGACCUUAAGUGUAAGGGGAGCAGCUGAUACGAUCACAUUUGCAUGUGCCCAUAUCUCUGUCUCCCAUAACAUAAUUGUACCGUUUAAUGUAUAUAUAUAUAAUUAACACAGUGACAUACAACAAUACUAACAGGAGGGCGGACUGCACACAUAAACACUUUUGCAAUUCACGGCCUUAAUACGAUAUCCCUAUCAACAGUUGACAUUUUACUAUCUUCGGGAUCACUACUUUAUUCUGAUAAUUAACUUAACUUUGCUACCCCGUAUAUUGUGUGUGUGUGUGUCGCCGUCAGCUCCCUGUUGGAUUAUAUCAUCUCUAGGUGUCCAGCAGGUUGUAUUAUCUAUUUUUAUUUAUUAUCAAUUGCUUAAUAAAUAUUUAUUUAUAUCGUUGUUAA